rnacentral:lncRNA from 1 species
CUUCGUGACAACAUCAACAUACCAACAUACUUAUCGACUGUUCUAAGAGUAAGUGGUAAAAGAUUUAGUGGUUGAUAUCCGAGAUUGUAAGUUCGAAUUCUAAUUGAUUCAUAUUUCUAGCUAAAUUUAUUUUUAAAUAAAAUAAACGAAACGGAUAGCAUGCUAUCUAUCUCUCUCAAAAAAGGAAAAAAAAAACAUAUCAACGUACCUCUAGGCUUCUUUUUUUUUUUCCAAAAUUAAAAAAUUACGAAAAUCUAAUCCCAAUUCAGCUGUGCCUCAAUUACUUGAUUAUAAAAUUUUUCAUUGAAUAAAUUGAUAUAUUAGUUGAAUUCAUAUAUAAGCAUUUGUUUCUAAUUAUAACCUAAGCAAUAAAUCUUAAAUAAAACCGACCGUCUCUAAAGCAAGUGACAAAGGAUUUGGUGGUUGGUACCGAGGUCCCAAGUUCGAAUCCUGGUUGAUUCACAUUUCUAACUAAGUUUAUUUCUAAAUGAAAAAAACGAAACGGGUAGCGUGCUACCUAUGUCUCAAAAAAAAAAAAAUCUUAAAUAAAUGCAGUACAUAU